rnacentral:rRNA from 1 species
GAGGCAGCAGUGGGGAAUUUUGCGCAAUGGGCGAAAGCCUGACGCAGCAACGCCGCGUGAGUGAUGAAGGCUUUCGGGUCGUAAAGCUCUGUCGAGGGGAAAGAAGUGUAUUGUGGCUAAUAUCCGCGAUACUUGACGGUACCCCUAAAGGAAGCACCGGCUAACUCCGUGCCAGCAGCCGCGGUAAUACGGGGGGUGCAAGCGUUGUUCGGAAUUAUUGGGCGUAAAGAGCGUGUAGGCGGUUUGUUAAGUCUGAUGUGAAAGCCCUGGGCUCAACCCAGGAAGUGCAUUGGAAACUGGCAGACUUGAAUACGGGAGAGGGCAGUGGAAUUCCUAGUGUAGGAGUGAAAUCCGUAGAUAUUAGGAGGAACACCGGUGGCGAAGGCGGCUGCCUGGACCGAUAUUGACGCUGAGACGCGAAAGCGUGGGUAGCAAACAGGAUUAGAUACCCUGGUAGUCCACGCCGUAAACGAUGAGAACUAGGUGUUGCGGGUAUUGACCCCUGCAGUGCCGCAGCUAACGCAUUAAGUUCUCCGCCUGGGAAGUACGGUCGCAAGACUA